UCUAUUGUGGCGGAAUGGUAACGCAUUAGGAUGCCAAUUCUCAGAAACUUAACUGAUAGCCGGUUAGGGAGAAGCGGCUAGUAGUCCUAAGUUAAAGUGAGUUCGAUUCUCACCUUAAGAU